CGCUGGCGGCAGCCUCAUACAUGCAAGUCGAGCGAGAACGUUACUUCGGUAGCUAGUAAAGCGGCGGACGGGUGAGUAACGCGUAGGAAUCUACCUUUCAGCGGGGGAUAGCUCGGGGAAACCCGAAUUAAUACCGCAUACACCCUAAGGGGGAAAGAGGGCCUAUCCUUGGAAGCUCUCGCUGUUAGAUGAGCCUGCGUGAGAUUAGUUUGUUGGUGGGGUAAUGGCCUACCAAGACUACGAUCUCUAGCUGGUCUGAGAGGACGAUCAGCCACACUGGGACUGAGACACGGCCCAGACUCCUACGGGAGGCAGCAGUAGGGAAUAUUGGACAAUGGGGGCAACCCUGAUCCAGCUAUGCCGCGUGUGUGAAGAAGGCUCUAGGGUUGUAAAGCACUUUAGGUAAGGACGAAAAGAAUAUAGUUAAUACCUAUAUUCCGUGACUUAACUUACAGAAUAAGGACCGGCUAACUCCGUGCCAGCAGCCGCGGUAAUACGGAGGGUCCAAGCGUUAAUCGGAAUUACUGGGCGUAAAGCGCGCGUAGGCGGUUUGUCAAGUUGGAUGUGAAAUCCCUGGGCUCAACCUAGGAACUGCAUUCAAAACUUAUAGACUAGAGUACGAUAGAGGAGAGUAGAAUUCCUGGUGUAGCGGUGAAAUGCGUAGAUAUCAGGAGGAAUACCAAUGGCGAAGGCAACUCUCUGGAUCGACACUGACGCUGAGGUGCGAAAGCGUGGGUAGCAAACAGGAUUAGAUACCCUGGUAGUCCACGCCGUAAACGAUGAGAACUAGCCGUUGGAUCUUAGAUUCAGUGGUACAGCUAACGCAUUAAGUUCUCCGCCUGGG
rnacentral:rRNA from 1 species